GAUGAACGCUGGCGGCGUGCUUAACACAUGCAAGUCGAACGAAGCAUUUAGGACAGAUUACUUCGGUUUGAAGUUCUUUAUGACUGAGUGGCGGACGGGUGAGUAACGCGUGGGUAACCUGCCUUGUACUGGGGGAUAGCAGCUGGAAACGGCUGGUAAUACCGCAUAAGCGCACAAUGUUGCAUGACAUGGUGUGAAAAACUCCGGUGGUAUAAGAUGGACCCGCGUCUGAUUAGCUAGUUGGUGAGAUCACAGCCCACCAAGGCGACGAUCAGUAGCCGACCUGAGAGGGUGACCGGCCACAUUUGGACUGAGACACGGCCCAGACUCCUACGGGAGGGAGCAGUGGGGAAUAUUGCACAAUGGAGGAAACUCUGAUGCAGCGACGCCGCGUGAGUGAAGAAGUAAUUCGUGAUGUAAAGCUCUAUCAGCAGGGAAGAUAGUGACGGUACCUGACUAAGAAGCUCCGGCUAAAUACGUG
rnacentral:rRNA from 1 species